UACGUAGGUGGCAAGCGUUGUCCGGAUUUACUGGGCGUAAAGAGCGCGCAGGCGGUCGUUCAAGUCGAGUGUGAAAGCCCCCGGCUCAACUGGGGAGGGUCACUCGAUACUGAUCGACUCGAAGGCAGGAGAGGGAAGUGGAAUUCCCGGUGUAGUGGUGAAAUGCGUAGAUAUCGGGAGGAACACCGGUGGCGAAGGCGGCCUUCUGGACGGAUACUGACGCUGAGACGCGAAAGCGUGGGGAGCAAACAGG
rnacentral:rRNA from 1 species